GCUGGUAGCUUAAUGGUUAGAGCUAGAGCCUUCAGAGCUGAAAGUCAUAGGUUUGAAUCCUACCUCCAGCU
rnacentral:tRNA from 1 species